rnacentral:rRNA from 1 species
UAAGGAAUAUUGGUCAAUGGACGCAAGUCUGAACCAGCCAUGCCGCGUGAAGGAUGAAGGUCCUCUGGAUUGUAAACUUCUUUUAUCUGGGUCGAAAACGGGAUUUUUAUCUCAAUUGACGGUACCAGAGGAAUAAGCACCGGCUAACUCCGUGCCAGCAGCCGCGGUAAUACGGAGGGUGCGAGCGUUAUCCGGAUUUACUGGGUUUAAAGGGUGCGUAGGUGGGCUUAUAAGUCAGUGGUGAAAUCUCCGAGCUUAACUUGGAAACUGCCGUUGAUACUAUAGGUCUUGAAUUAUCUGGAGGUAAGCGGAAUAUGUCAUGUAGCGGUGAAAUGCUUAGAUAUGACAUAGAACACCAAUUGCGAAGGCAGCUUACUACAUAUAAAUUGACGCUGAGGCACGAAAGCGUGGGGA